rnacentral:rRNA from 1 species
CUAUCCCUACGGAGGCAGCAGUGAGGAAUAUUGGUCAAUGGGCUUACGCCUGAACCAGCCAAGUCGCGUGAGGGAAGACUGCCCUAUGGGUUGUAAACCUCUUUUGUCAGGGAGCAACGCCGGCUACGUGUAGCCGGACUGAGAGUACCUGAAGAAAAAGCAUCGGCUAACUCCGUGCCAGCAGCCGCGGUAAUACGGAGGAUGCGAGCGUUAUCCGGAUUUAUUGGGUUUAAAGGGUGCGUAGGCGGAAUGCCAAGUCAGCGGUAAAAUCGCGGGGCUCAACCUCGCUCCGCCGUUGAACCUGG